GUCCAGACUCCUACGGGAGGCAGCAGUGGGGGAUAUUGGACAAUGGGGGGAACCCUGAUCCAGCGACGCCGCGUGAGUGAAGAAGUAUCUCGGUAUGUAAAGCUCUAUCAGCAGGGAAGAAGAAAUGACGGUACCUGAGUAAGAAGCCCCGGCUAACUACGUGCCAGCAGCCGCGGUAAUACGUAGGGGGCAAGCGUUAUCCGGAAUUACUGGGUGUAAAGGGAGCGUAGACGGUGAUGUAAGUCUGGAGUGAAAGGCGGGGGCCCAACCCCCGGACUGCUCUUGGAACUGCGUGGCUGGAGUGCAGGAGGGGCAGGCGGAAUUCCUGGUGUAGCGGUGAAAUGCGUAGAUAUCAGGAGGAACACCGGUGGCGAAGGCGGCCUGCUGGACUGCAACUGACGUUGAGGCCCGAAAGCGUGGGGAGCAAACAGGAUUAGAUACCCGGGUAGU
rnacentral:rRNA from 1 species